UUUUUUUUUUCUGCCACUGGUGUUAGUGAUCACCUGGCAUGUUCUGCUGAAAAAAAAAAAUUAAAUCUAUAAUGUUUAAGUAUGA